GAGGCCUCGUCGCCUCACGUGCGCCUGCGCGCCUGCCCCUCCCCCUCCCACACCUCCUCCCCUCUUUCAAAAGAUAACCGACAAAAGCCGCGGCCUACUCGAGCUCGCCUCGCUUUCUCCUCAGGAAGCGCGUCUAAGCAGGCCCGCCUCCGCCAGCAGGUCUUCAUUCGGAAGGCGAGAAAUGGCUGCGGCCCAAACGAUGCGGGAAGGAUGCCGAACUCUGGCCCUUGGCCCAUGAGCUCCGCGUUGCCUGCCCUGGCUGGCAGCGGCUCUCCAGGGUUUCAGGCAGGGAGUGUCGGAUGAAGGGGGCGAUGCUAAUGGAGCCAAGAUUUUACCCGCCGGACGUGUAUGGCAGUACCUCGUGAGGCUCCACGGGCCGAAGGUUGCCUGCCUCUGCUCUACACGGACUGGCAGCUGCUCUUUCUCGAGGGUUUCGGGCCGGGUUGCUGUCCCAAGCCCACGUGCAGAUGCUGCUGGGGAUGGAGGCUGGAGCCUUCUAGCAAGGCAGACGCCGAGCAGCCGAGCCAGGCCCUUCCCAUAAUGUGAGAGCGCCAAGAAAACAAAGGAAAAAUCCGUGUUCCUCUGGUUGCUAGUUGAUGGUGGCCAAGGCUAAAUUAAGCCAUCGCCCAGAUUCCUCUCAAGUUUCCUGCAUUUUGACUUUACAAUAAAGGGUAGUUUGCUUAAGUUACGAUUUUAUAUUAAUCUUGAUCACUCAGAAGUAGAAAAAUGUCUGUUCCCCUGAAAGGUGGCCCCUACUAAGACUUUCAUUGCUCACAUACAGGCUCUUUUAAGGAGCAAUACGUGGUUUUGCUUUUUUUAAGCGUGUAAGCUUUGCAAAAACCAGUGUAAAAAAACAAAGGCUCUUAAAAAUAACUCUCAAGUUUAUGUACAGAAAUGGAAACAGCCCAGAUCCCUAUUUUAUACGUACCCUUCUUUGUUAUGGAUACAUGCUUGGAAACUAGGCAUGUUACAGCACUCUUCGUGUGCAAAUGGAAUCCAAGACAUUAAUCUUCCAUGGAAGCAUAUUACUACACAAUAUGGAGAACAGGAGAAAAGGAGUGCAUCUAUCACAAUUGGCAAGAACAUGAGUGACAUUUUGCUAGUUGUCCUAACUUUGCCAUGGGUGGUUUAUCAGAGGAUGAAGCAACAUCCAGCACUCCCAGUGUUAAAGAUAUACAAACUGGGUGCCAAAUGGCUCCUUAAACCAAGGUUGCAGUUGCCAAAAUGAAAUGACCAGUUGGCAUUUUUGGACGAGAUGUGAGCUAGGUUAAGAGCUCUGAGAAUGGGCACUUUAUCCAGGAACAAUCCACAUACAUAUUGGCCUGAAUGGUGACUGCUCCUGCUUAAAAUGCACAGAAAAAGCAUUAUGGUUCCAAAAAUUCAUUCCGAUUGUCCAAAAGAAAUAUAACAGAAUUCCACAAGAAUAGCCUAUUAGUGUGUGAAAACAGUCCACAUCCAAGGAUUCCCACAUGCACCUCCAGAUGGUGAAAACAUCAGGUACCAUCCUUGCGCCCGGACAUCUUCACUUGGUCUCAAGUGGUCAAGACAGGUGCCUAGCUGAUUUUGCACCCAGAGUGAUUUAGACUUGUAUUUUUUCCCCAUUCAACAAUUGCCUUCCCAUGUCAGAUUUCACAUGUUGCAAUAGGACUCUAUAGAGAUAAAGCAGAUCUGAAGGCAGAACUUGUGCAAUGCAGCAAAACAAUUUACAUUCUGGUGCAAGGUAAACUCAAGUUCCUAAUGAAAGGCAAACAUUGCUUCUACUUGCAUUAUGAAAACUCGCACACAGAGCUUGCCCAUUUGACCUUUUAUUCCUUUCAAAAUGAACCACUUAUGCUUGCCCCUUUACAAACCUGCUACAGCACUUCCUGCAGGUUACUGGGACCAGUAAUAACAGAACCUAGCUACCACCCAAAGCAUAAGUACAUAGAAAGAAAUUGUAACUCACAAAACUUGGGAAAAUGUAUCCAUUUUGAUUUGAAUUUCUAAUGGACAAAGUCUGGGAAUAGGAUGUUAAUAGUUCAGGGGGUUUGAGUUCUAGCCUUAGUAGCUAUAUGUAGUUUUAUGAGGGGAGGUGCUUAUUUGCCCAAGUGUACUUUUGUUGACAAGUCCCUCAACAGUCCAUUUACCUGUGGAUCUUAAUUUAGGAGUUACUGAUGUUAUGUAUUCUGAUCACUAAAUAAAUUCAGAAAUAGAAAA